AUAUUUUGCCCAAUGAUUAUUUAAAUGGCUGCAGUAUUUUGACUGUACAAAGGUAGCAUAGUAAUUAGUCUUUUAAUUGAGGACUGGAAUGAAAGAAUGAAUGAGGUAUAUAUUUUAUUUAUUUAAUUUUUAAAAAUUUAUUUUUUAGUGAAAAAUCUGAAAUGUUUUUUUGGGACGAAAAGACCCUAUAGAACUUUAUUCUAGAUUUAAUUAAAUUAUUUUUUAUUUUAUUUAAAUUUCUAAAUUUUGUUGGGGUGAUAGUUAAAUUAAUCUUUAGUUUUUUUGUUCAUUAAUUUAUGUUUUUAAAUAUUUUUAAUUUUAAAGUUAAAGUUACCUUAGGGAUAACAGCGUAAUUUAUAUGGGGAGUUCAUAUCUAUAUUUAAGUUUGCGACCUCGAUGUUGAAUUAAGAUAAGGUUUAGGGGUAGGUUUUUUUUUUCUAAGUC
rnacentral:rRNA from 1 species